UACGUAGGUGGCGAGCGUUGUCCGGAUUUACUGGGCGUAAAGGGCGUGCAGGCGGUUUGUUAAGUGCAGGGUGAAAGCUCCCGGCUCAACUGGGAGAGGUCCUUGCAUACUGGCGAACUCGAGGGAGGCAGAGGAAAGUGGAAUUCCCGGUGUAGUGGUGAUAUGCGUAGAUAUCGGGAGGAACACCUGUGGCGAAGGCGGCUUUCUGGGUCUUACCUGACGCUGAGACGCGAAAGCGUGGGGAGCGAACCGG
rnacentral:rRNA from 1 species